GCAGCACGGGUAGCAAUACCUGGUGGCGAGUGGCGCACGGGUGCGUAACGCGUAUGCAAUCUACCUAUAACUGGGGAAUAGCCUUCCGAAAGGAAGAUUAAAACCGCAUAAUAUCACGAAACGGCAUCGUUUUGUGAUCAGAUCUCCGGAGGUUAUAGAUGAGCAUGCGUGACAUUAGCUAGUUGGUGAGGUAACGGCUCACCAAGGCUACGAUGUCUAGGGGGUCUGAGAGGAUGAUCCCCCACACUGGUACUGAGACACGGACCAGACUCCUACGGGAGGCAGCAGUAAGGAAUAUUGGACAAUGGCCGCAAGGCUGAUCCAGCCAUGCCGCGUGCAGGAUGAAGGUGCUCUGCAUUGUAAACUGCUUUUGUUCGGGAAUAAACCCCUCUACGUGUAGAGGGCUGAAUGUACCGAAAGAAUAAGGGACGGCUAACUUCGUGCCAGCAGCCGCGGUAAUACGAAGGUCCCAAGCGUUAUCCGGAUUUAUUGGGUUUAAAGGGUGCGUAGGCGGGUUAUUAAGUCAGUGGUGAAAGCCUUCAGCUUAACUGAAGAAUUGCCAUUGAUACUGAUGAUCUUGAGUAUGAUUGAGGUGGGCGGAAUGUGUCAUGUAGCGGUGAAAUGCUUAGAUAUGACACAGAACACCGAUUGCGAAGGCAGCUCACUAAGCCAUAACUGACGCUGAUGCACGAAAGCGUGGGGAGCAAACAGGAUUAGAUACCCUGGUAGUCCACGCCCUAAACGAUGAUCACUCGAUGUGUGCGAUACACUGUACGCGUCUGAG
rnacentral:rRNA from 1 species